UAGGGAAUAUUGGACAAUGGGGGAAACCCUGAUCCAGCCAUGCCGCGUGAGUGAUGAAGGCCCUAGGGUUGUAAAGCUCUUUCGGCGGGGAAGAUAAUGACGGUACCCGCAUAAGAAGCCCCGGCAAACUUCGUGCCAGCAGCCGCGGUAAUACGAAGGGGGCUAGCGUUGCUCGGAAUCACUGGGCGUAAAGCGCACGUAGGCGGGUUGCUAAGUCAGGGGUGAAAUCCCGGAGCUCAACUCCGGAACUGCCUUUGAUACUGGCAACCUUGAGUCCGGGAGAGGUGAGUGGAACUGCGAGUGUAGAGGUGAAAUUCGUAGAUAUUCGCAAGAACACCAGUGGCGAAGGCGGCUCACUGGCCCGGUACUGACGCUGAGGUGCGAAAGCGUGGGGAGCAAA
rnacentral:rRNA from 1 species